ACAUGCCUAUAACAUAGCAUUAAUGCACUGGAUCCCAUUAGAACUUCGGAGUUAAGCACGUUCAGGCUAGUGUAGUACUGGAUGGGUGACCGCUUGGGAAGUCCUAGUGUUUUACAUGCC
rfam:Picea glauca, whole genome shotgun sequence.